CUGACAGGAUCAGAAAGCUGUCAUUACUAUCUCCCCAAACGCCUGGCACAACUAGAUUCCAUGAGUAUCCUACGCAGCACUCAAGACCAGUAUGGGAAGCAAACCAAUUACCUCAAAAGGACUAUCUCCACAAGCUGAAUCUAUUGAGAAGAAAGAUGUUGGGGCCAGUAAUGAAAGCUGCGUGGGGAGCUCCAUCCUCUAAAACGACAAGUUCUCCAAUCAGUCAGGGUGAAGAUAAGGAUUCAAUUGCUAUUUUUGGAAAGGGAUGGAGCCCCAACAAAAAACAAGCCACAUUCCCAGCAAUAAAGAAAAACCUAAGACAAAACUAAUUCUAAAACUUGUUCAAAUUCAGCUUCGCUGAAUUAUUUUUAAAAAACCAAGUUAAAACAUCCAGUGAAAAAUUGAUCUCUUCUGAAAGCUG